AUUGAACGCUGGCGGCAUGCCUUACAUAUGCAAGUCGAACGGUAACAGGUCUUCGGAUGCUGACGAGUGGCGAACGGGUGAGUAAUACAUCGGAACGUGCCUAGUAGUGGGGGAUAACUACUCGAAAGAGUGGCUAAUACCGCAUGAGAUCUACGGAUGAAAGCAGGGGAUCGCAAGACCUUGUGCUACUAGAGCGGCCGAUGGCAGAUUAGGUAGUUGGUGGGAUAAAAGCUUACCAAGCCGACGAUCUGUAGCUGGUCUGAGAGGACGAUCAGCCAAACGGGGACUGAGACACGGCCCAGACUCCUACGGGAGGCAGCAGUGGGGAAUUUUGGACAAUGGGCGCAAGCCUGAUCCAGCAAUGCCGCGUGCAGGAUGAAGGCCUUCGGGUUGUAAACUGCUUUUGUACGGAACGAAAAGCCCUGGGUUAAUACCCUGGGGUCAUGACGGUACCGUAAGAAUAAGCACCGGCUAACUACGUGCCAGCAGCCGCCGUAACAC
rnacentral:rRNA from 1 species